ensembl:lncRNA
AUGGCAGAAGCCCCUGGCCCCCUGCACCUCCCUGCUCCCGGCCGGCUCCAGAAAAGCCUCUGGGAAGGGCUCAGCACCAGCCCCCGUUGCUGGGGCACAGGUUUUGAGCCCCUGUGCAGGAUUCAGACCCCUGUGGGAGCCACAGCCUGGGCUGGGAGCCAGGCCCCGGGCAGCCCUCGGUGCCCUGGGACGGGGCAGAGGCACCAGAGGGGACGUGCUGGGGUGCAGCAAGCAGCGAGCGACCCCGGGCACCCGAGGAGGCGACGCCGGAGCCGGUUGUUUUUUGGGCUGCGCUGCCGGCGAGCGGCCGGGACGCCGCGGGGGAGCCAGCUCGGCAGCCCCGGGCCCGGCGCCAGGGAGGCUCCGCGGUGCCCUCCCUGCCUGGCUCGGGUCAGGAGUUUCCACUCGUUCCACAUCCCGAGCGUGGGGAGCCGCUGGUGGCGGGCACGGUGCAGCUGGGGAGGAACGGAGGGGACGCGAGGAUGGGGCUGUGCCCGUGCUUGUGAGAAAUUUGUCUCUCCUCCUCGCCCCACCAGUGACGGCGGUGCUGAUGCUCUCUCCUUGCUGCUGCUCUGGCUCUGGCUCCUCUGCCCGGGCGCUGCCCUGGAGCUCCCCGUGCCCCUGGUGCUGCUGGACGCGGUGCUGGGCUCCGGGGCUGCACGGUGGCUGUCCGUCCGUCCGUCCUGCAGCUGCAGCCGGCGUUUCCUGCGGCGGGAGGCAAAGUUGGCAGCCGGCAGCGAGGGGAGUGGAAAGAAUGAGCUCAAACCCAGAAAAAUGCGGCCGUGCUGGAGGGUGGGAGGAGAGGCCAAGGGGGGGGGGGCACGUCGAGGAGCUGGGAAAGGGAGGGAGGAAGGAAGGAGGUGCUGGCGGGGGGCCAGGGGCUGCCUGCGGCCCCCAGCUGGGCCCCCACCUGGGCCAGGUACUGCCAGGGCUCGGCAGCUCCGGCCCCUCCAGCAAGAACUCUCGGGGCUGCCACCUCCCUGCCGGCCGGCCCAGCGCCAUUGGUCCCAGUGCCACCCAUCCCUGCAUGGCCGCUGUCCCCGGUGCCACCUCCCCCAGCCCCAGCUGCUCCCCGGUGCCGUUUGUCCCGGUGCCACCCCGGAGAGCCGUCCGUCCCAGCGCACGCCACUCUGCUCGCUGCCUCCCCGUGCCGGGGGACCCCAGUGGCUGGUGGCCGGCACAUGGCCGCGGUGGGACCAGGUCCUGUGCCGGUCCCCAGCCCCUGGGGCACACGGGGUGCCCGGUGGCCUGACCACCAGCCCUCUUGCUCAUCUCCCACUUCUGCAGGGUCUGGAUGCUGCCGGGGAUGUUUUAGGAUCAAGGGCCCGCACCCAAAGCGUUUUCCCCCCGCCCCGGUGCCCCCAUCUGCUGCCACCACGGGGCCGGGGCCGGAACAGCCUCCCCGGCACGGGGCGAGUUAAAGGCUGGCUCGAGCGUGCCGCAGCGCAUCUUCUCAUGGGGAGCUGCCAAGAAAAGCACAAGGGAGGAGGGCGGCCGCUUCCCCGCGCACCACGGGGCCAGGUCCUGCCCUUGGUCCCCGCAGGACGGCUGGGAAGUCCCUCCUGCUUUCCCAGCCCGAGCCGCUCGCGCAGGAAAGCCCCACGGCCGCUGCGUGGGGAGCAGCCCCUCAGCCAGGUCCCUGCCUCCGUGCCGAGACCCCAGCCCUGA